AACGAACGCUGGCGGCAUGCCUAACACAUGCAAGUCGAACGAGACCUUCGGGUCUAGUGGCGCACGGGUGCGUAACGCGUGGGAACCUGCCCUUAGGUUCGGAAUAACUCCCCGAAAGGAGUGCUAAUACCGGAUAAUGUCUUCGGACCAAAGAUUUAUCGCCUUUGGAUGGGCCCGCGUUGGAUUAGUUAGUUGGUAGGGUAAAAGCCUACCAAGGCGACGAUCCAUAGCUGGUCUGAGAGGAUGAUCAGCCACACUGGGACUGAGACACGGCCCAGACUCCUACGGGAGGCAGCAGUGGGGAAUAUUGGACAAUGGGCGAAAGCCUGAUCCAGCAAUGCCGCGUGAGUGAUGAAGGCCUUAGGGUUGUAAAGCUCUUUUACCCGGGAUGAUAAUGACAGUACCGGGAGAAUAAGCUCCGGCUAACUCCGUG
rnacentral:rRNA from 1 species